GAGUUCCUCUGUGUUUAAAGGAAUUUGAUCCCUUUUAGGAAAGAAAGUUCUUAGAACUCAUAAAGGAGCUAAAAGUAAUGGAAAUAAGAAAAAUUAUAGCUUUUUGGGAUUUUGUUCAUCAAUCAUUUCAUAAAGGAUGUUUCGGGUAACAUAAAGCAUAUGCAAUUUUAGGUGUUUUAGAAAAAAGGAACAUGUGAGUGGCCAUGGAUAGAGUUGUUCUCAAGUAAGUUUUAAGCUUUCUGCAGCUUUAUUUAUUUAUGUUUUUCAUUUUUUGUUUGUUUCAAGUGACUGUUCCCUAUUUUUUUGAAACAUGACUAUUCAUACCUUUGACAUCAUCGGUACAAUUGAAGUGAAAUUUAUGUGUACAACUAAUGGUACAAAGUCAAAUGUUUACAAAGGUUGUUUUUGAAGGUUCGAGAAAGAUAGCAAGAUCACCAUGGAGCAAAAGUAGAAACGAUAUACCAAAUUUUUAACUUCAUAUAUCAGCAAUUAGAUUGCUGGUUGUUAUAAGCCAAUUGAUAUACUUGGCAUUGAAACACCAAGCAAAAAAACCACUUUGGUUAUAGUAGUCUUAGUAGAUAAUAUUAUUGUUGACUUCACCUGAUAGAAUAAAAGUUCAAAAUACAUAUUGUUCAUUAUUUUAUUUUUUUAUUGAGUUUUGGUUUGAU